rnacentral:rRNA from 1 species
UACGAAGGGUGCAAGCGUUAAUCGGAAUUACUGGGCGUAAAGGGUGCGUAGGCGGGUCUUUAAGUCAGGGGUGAAAUCCUGGAGCUCAACUCCAGAACUGCCCUUGAUACUGAAGGUCUUGAGUUCGGGAGAGGUGAGUGGAACUGCGAGUGUAGAGGUGAAAUUCGUAGAUAUUCGCAAGAACACCAGUGGCGAAGGCGGCUCACUGGCCCGAUACUGACGCUGAGGCACGAAAGCGUGGGGAGCAAACAGG